rnacentral:rRNA from 1 species
AUACGUAUGGGGCGAGCGUUGUCCGGAAUGAUUGGGCGUAAAGCGCGCGUAGGCGGCUUUUCAAGUCAGAAGUGGAAGUCCUUUGUUCAAGGGUGGAAGUGCUACAGAAACUGCGUAGCUUGAGUGCAGUAGAGGUUAGCGGAAUUCCCGGUGUAGCGGUGAAAUGCGUAGAGAUAGGGAGGAACACCAGUGGCGAAGGCGGGUAACUGGACUGCAACUGACGCUGAGGCGCGAAAGUGUGGGGAGCAAACAGGAUUAGAUACCCUGGUAGUCCACACUGUAAACGAUGAAUGCUAGGUGUAGGAGGUAUCGACCCCUUAUGUGCCGCAGUAAACACAGUAAGCAUUCCGCCUGGGGAGUACGGUCGCAAGAUUAAAACUCAAAGGAAUUGACGGGG